rfam:Ictidomys tridecemlineatus contig089044, whole genome shotgun sequence.
GGGGUUGUGGCUCAGUGGUAGAGCACUCGCCUCACGUGUGUGCGGCACUGGGUUCAAUCCUCAGCACCUCA